AUUUAUAACAUGAAUCAUAAACCCUACCCAGUAAAAAGAAUAACCAAAUAUCAGCUGCGGUUAGAUUUUGUGGGGUCAAUCCAGUCAAGGUGUACACGGUGAAGCAGAUCUAUAUAUCUCUGAAUAUUUCUUGGGGUCAAUCCAGUCAAGGUGUACACAGUAAAGCAAAUCUAUCAAAUCAAGUCCCAAAGACUUGAAGUCUCGAUUGUUGCUUUGUUUUAACUCCCACUUUAUUAUCUAUUUAUCUUUUUUUUUUUAAUUAUAUUUGGCUAUUUGAUUUAGAUUGUUAAACAUGGAAUCUGGUGCGAGUCAAUUAAACCCAUUAA